AAAAAGUCCCUCUCCUCCUCCAGGUCCUCAAUGCGCUUCUGCAACCACGAGUUCCUCUCAAGUGCCAUGUGCAGCUGGGUCUUAACACUGUUCAUCAGGGCCAGGGUUGGGGAGGUGGCCUCUGGAGGCUCUAGGAACAGCAGGGAUGGAGGUCAUGCCCCAGGAUGAGGCAGUGCCCCAACUGACUCCAGUCCCUCCAUGCCCUUUUCCAGCUCACCCUCAAAAUUUCUCCGUGAGGGACUCAGACUAUAGAAGAUCUGUGAGUCUAAAUGGGGUGCCUCUUCGAAGGGAAUGGAGAUCUCAAAAGUCUCUUCAUCCUUCACUGCGGAGAGACCAGCAAGGUCACCCCAGAAGUGGCCUGGACCUUAUAGACCACCCCCAACCAUAGCUGUCCCGUGGACAGAGGGAACCAGGAUAUCAGGCCAAGGAUGGGGAAAGAAAAGGUCCCCAAGAGCCUCACUUGUCCGCCUAUGGUUGUUUCUGUCAUUCAUAUCGAGGCUUCUGGCAGACCCAGCAGUUGAGUCCUUGGGGGCACUGGACAGAAACAGGUCACCAAAUGUAGUCAGUCCCGGGAGAGGUGGAGUACCUCCGGAGUAAUAAGGGAUCACCUGUCUGCGGGAGGAAAGACCCAUACUUCUGGAC
rnacentral:lncRNA from 1 species